rnacentral:rRNA from 1 species
GAUGAACGCUGGCGGCGUGCUUAACACAUGCAAGUCGAACGAACCUUCGGGUUAGUGGCGGACGGGUGAGUAACGCGUGAGAAUCUGCCCUCAGGAGGGGGACAACAGCUGGAAACGGCUGCUAAUACCCCAUAUGCCGCGAGGUGAAAUGAAUUUCGCCUGAGGAUGAGCUCGCGUCUGAUUAGCUAGUUGGUGUAGGUAAUGGCUCACCAAGGCAUCGAUCAGUAGCUGGUCUGAGAGGAUGAUCAGCCACACUGGGACUGAGACACGGCCCAGACUCCUACGGGAGGUUUCAGUGGGGAAUUUUCCGCAAUGGGCGAAAGCCUGACGGAGCAACGCCGCGUGAGGGAUGAAGGCCUCUGGGCUGUAAACCUCUUUUAUCAAGGAAGAAGAUCUGACGGUACUUGAUGAAUAAGCCACGGCUAAUUCCGUG